UUUCCGGUUGAUCCUGCCGGACCUGACUGCUAUCGGAUUGAUACUAAGCCAUGCGAGUCUUUGCAGUAAUGCAAGGCAUACGGCUCAGUAACACGUAGUCAACCUACCCUAUGGACGAGAAUAAUCUCGGGAAACUGAGCAUAAUUCUUGAUAGAUCAUAAUGCCUGGAAUGGUUUAUGGUUAAAAUGAUUCGUCGCCAUAGGAUGGGACUGCGGCCUAUCAGCUUGUUGGUGAGGUAAUGGCCCACCAAGGCGAUUACAGGUACGGGCUCUGAGAGGAGAAGCCCGGAGAUGGGUACUGAGACACGGACCCAGGCCCUAUGGGGCGCAGCAGGCGAGAAAACUUUGCAAUGUGCGAAAGCACGACAAGGUUAAUCCGAGUGAUUUCUGCUAAAGAAAUCUUUUACCAGUCGUAAAACCGCUGGUGAAUAAGGGGUGGGCAAGUUCUGGUGUCAGCCGCCGCGGUAAAACCAGCACCUCAAGUGGUCAGGAUGAUUAUUGGGCCUAAAGCAUCCGUAGCCGGCUUUGUAAGUUUUCGGUUAAAUCCAUGUGCUCAACGCAUGGGCUGCCGAAAAUACUGCAUGGCUAGGGAGUGGGAGAGGUAGACGGUACUCAGUAGGUAGGGGUAAAAUCCUUUGAUCUAUUGAUGACCACCUGUGGCGAAGGCGGUCUACCAGAACACGUUCGACGGUGAGGGAUGAAAGCUGGGGGAGCAAACCGGAUUAGAUACCCGGGUAGCCCCAGCUGUAAACGAUGCAGACUAGAUGAUGCAUUGGCAUAAUAGCCAUUGCAGUGUCUCAGGGAAGCCGUUAAGUCUGCCGCCUGGGAAGUACGUACGCAAGUAUGAAACUUAAAGGAAUUGGCGGGGGAGCACCACAAGGGGUGAAGCCUGCGGUUCAAUUGGAGUCAACGCCGGGA
rnacentral:rRNA from 1 species